UGUUGCGGUCUAUCAUGCAAGUCGAGCGGACAGAAGGGAGCUUGCUCCCGGAUGUUAGCGGCGGACGGGUGAGUAACACGUGGGUAACCUGCCUGUAAGACUGGGAUAACUCCGGGAAACCGGAGCUAAUACCGGAUAGUUCCUUGAACCGCAUGGUUCAAGGAUGAAAGACGGUUUCGGCUGUCACUUACAGAUGGACCCGCGGCGCAUUAGCUAGUUGGUGAGGUAACGGCUCACCAAGGCGACGAUGCGUAGCCGACCUGAGAGGGUGAUCGGCCACACUGGGACUGAGACACGGCCCAGACUCCUACGGGAGGCAGCAGUAGGGAAUCUUCCGCAAUGGACGAAAGUCUGACGGAGCAACGCCGCGUGAGUGAUGAAGGUUUUCGGAUCGUAAAGCUCUGUUGUUAGGGAAGAACAAGUGCAAGAGUAACUGCUUGCACCUUGACGGUACCUAACCAGAAAGCCACGGCUAACUACGUGCCAGCAGCCGCGGUAAUACGUAGGUGGCAAGCGUUGUCCGGAAUUAUUGGGCGUAAAGGGCUCGCAGGCGGUUUCUUAAGUCUGAUGUGAAAGCCCCCGGCUCAACCGGGGAGGGUCAUUGGAAACUGGGAAACUUGAGUGCAGAAGAGGAGAGUGGAAUUCCACGUGUAGCGGUGAAAUGCGUAGAGAUGUGGAGGAACACCAGUGGCGAAGGCGACUCUCUGGUCUGUAACUGACGCUGAGGAGCGAAAGCGUGGGGAGCGAACAGGAUUAGAUACCCUGGUAGUCCACGCCGUAAACGAUGAGUGCUAAGUGUUAGGGGGUUUCCGCCCCUUAGUGCUGCAGCUAACGCAUUAAGCACUCCGCCUGGGGAGUACGGUCGCAAGACUGAAACUCAAAGGAAUUGACGGGGGCCCGCACAAGCGGUGGAGCAUGUGGGUUUAAUUCGAAGCAACGCGAAGAACCUUACCAGGUCUUGACAUCCUCUGACACCCUAGAGAUAGGGCUUUCCCUUCGGGGACAGAGUGACAGGUGGUGCAUGAUUGUCGUCAGCUCGUGUCGUGAGAUGUUGGGUUAAGUU
rnacentral:rRNA from 2 species